rnacentral:misc_RNA from 1 species
CAUUAGCGUUGAUUGGUCUUGGUGCCAUGCGAAAAACAUGUGGAUCGUGGGCUAUGUGACCCCUCUGUGGGGGGUAUUUUGUCGCGAACUUGGAGAUUUGGCUGAUGGAUAUAUGAUAGAUAAACAAAAUACAACUCUUAGCAAUGGAUAUCUUGGUUCCCACAACGAUGAAGAACGCAGCGAAAUGCGAUACGUAAUGCGAAUUGCAGAAUUCAGUGAAUCAUCGAAUCUUUGAACGCAAGUUGCGCUUUCGAGAGCCCUCGGAAGCAUGCCUCUCUGAGUAUCGGUUUCUAUAUCUCUCACACACUGGUGGUGUGUGGUGGUGGAGGAUGGGAGUUGCGCACGUCUCUGCAUCUCCUGAAGUCAGCGUCGGCCGAAGUCCAUCGGGUUCUUGGAACGAUAAUCCGUCAUGGCGCCCAAACCAUACACAAG